rnacentral:misc_RNA from 1 species
AAAAAAGGGAAAGGAAAACUCAUCAGUUAUCUCCAUAGAUCCAUUUCUCUGCAUUGCUUGUGUAACUAACCAAUUCCUCUGGCUUGAACCACAACUUGAUCUCAUCUUUGGCUGUCUCUGGUCCAUCGCUUCCAUGGAUGAUGUUCCUGCCAACUACAACAGCUAGAUCUCCUCGAAUGGUACCGGGCUCAGAUUUCUGUGGAUCUGUUGCUCCAAUAAGUUUUCGUCCAUAUCUGAUCACUCCCUCGCCUUCCCAA